rnacentral:tRNA from 1 species
GGUGGUGUGGUGUAAUGGUAGCACGUGACGUUGUGGUUAAAACACAUUGAACCGUUUCAAUCUGGGUUCGAUUCCCAGCACCGCCA